UCCUUUUCUACUUCACCGGAUCUGUGCCAGUCGUCCUCUGCCUUGUUGCGGAGUUGACGUCUGUGCAGCUCGAUACCUCAUGGAGCCAUCAACUUGUUAUGAUGUCAAUUUCCUAUCGACAGGUCCCAGAGCAAUCGGGGGUGUGGUUGCACUGCUCGUCGUCCUCUGUGGCGGCUGAUGUGGUGAUCACAGCCAUGCUUCCAAAGCGCUAUAUUUCAAACCUUUUUUCCUAGGUCGUUGACCUAUGCGGUUGAGGAAAACCAUGGCGUCUUACAUAU
rfam:Beauveria bassiana ARSEF 2860 unplaced genomic scaffold BBA_S00004, whole genome shotgun sequence.